rnacentral:lncRNA from 1 species
UUGAGGAUUAUUGAGGUUUAAGUGGGUCAAGGUCUCAGAAAGUAGAAUUUUAGGUCUAGUGAGAUUUUUUAAGAUUUCUUGCAAUCUAUUACUUGGAUUGGAGUGAAAUUUGUAUGUGAAAAUAUUAGACUUGUUUUUCUAUAUAUAUGAGAAUUUUGAGAUCAACCGAAUGGUGAAAAGGAGAGAUAUUGGCUUUGGAAGAUUGGCAUUAAGGUCAGAGAAGGAGGCCAACCAAUAUCCAAGUACAUUUUUGAGACUAUCGUCUAUUUGAUAAUUCCGAUCUUUUUCAAAUUUUUGUACUUCUUGUCAACUUAAUUUUUAAAAAGUGUACAAAUUUUGAGUUAAGAUCAAUAGUUCAUUCAUUAGUAAUUGAUGUUUAAAUCUGUUAUAGGAAUUACUAAGGUUUGAUUUAGGAUUUAGGAUUUGAUUAGGAUUUGAUUAGGAUUUGGUUUAGGAUUUGGUUAGGGUUUGGAUUAGGAUUUAGAAUUUGGUUAGGAUUUGAUUUAGAGCUCAAGAUUUGAUUAAGGUUUGAUUUAGGAUUUAGGAUUUGAUUAGGAUUUGAUUUAGGAUUAGGAUUUAGGAUUUGAUUAGGAUUUGAUUUAGGAUUUAGGAUUUAGAAUUUUAUUAGGAUUUAAUUAGGAUUUAAGAUUUAGUUAACUUUUGGCCUAAAAUUUGAAUGAGGUCCAAUAGGAUUUUAACUAGGAUUA